GGGAGAUGGGGGGGAGCAGGGGGGGGAGCAGCGGGGCAGAAGUGCCAUUGCAAUCCGGCGGGGCGCCCUUGCCCGGCAGCAGGAGGGGAGGAAGGAGCCGAGUGGUGGGGGGGCAGCUGCGUCCACGCCCCCUUCUUCACCUGCUGCUUCCCGGCGGCCGGAUCUAGCCGCGGGAUCCAGCCGCGGGUGGCAAGCGGCUUUGCGGGGAAGCGAUGAUCUGCAGGGGCGUCUCCUGCUCCUGGGUUGCGUGCGAGCUUUUUCUGCGGGCUCCAGCGGGGCGCCUUGUGCUCUGCUUGCCUGCCUGCCUGCUUGGAAGUCAGCGCCUUUCAGCCUGGGGCAAAUCGACAUCAAGGCUGCAGCUCCCACUUACUCACGCGGGGUGGGGGAUAACAAAGGAGGGGCCGAUUGUGACAUGAGGCACCGUAAUGAUGCUACAGGGGACGUUUUCCCCCUGCACGUGGAGACAGGCUCCCAGCACAAUGACAGCGCUGCCUAGCGGGCCUUUGAAUUGACAGUAAAACAUCAAGAUUCAAUUUUGUCUCCCGAAGAAGACGGAUUCCAACACCAACUUUUGGAAGAAUAUUUAGCAGCUUUGCAGAGAGACUGGGUCCAAAAAGGUUAAGUAUGGAUUGGACCCUGGCUGGGGCCUUCUGCCUGUGUAACUGCCCCUGAUCCCUUAGUUGGCGGGACCUCUGCCCCAGCCCUUCUUGACAGGUUGGAAGAGCUUGAAACGGGGAAUGAUUUGGAAGGGAUGCUAACUCAUGAGAGAAAGAGGUCACCUUCCUUCCUGCAGAGCAGCUCCUGGAGGCCAAGUGCUUCCUGGCCAGUGACCUUGCUGCUGAGAGCACCUUCGAGCCCUUGGACAUCUCCCACUUGCUGCAAGAGUUCAGCGGCAAAGCAGUGGAGGUGGAGGUGCUGCUGGAGGCCUUCCAGAAGAUCACUCCAAGGUCUACAAUGGAGAGCAGAGAAGUGGCCAUCUUAGCUUAUCAUCACCUGGAGAAAGUGGUUGAACACCUCCUCCAAUUUCCUUUCAUGUAUGGGGUACUCAAGCUUCCACUGGCCUAAGAGAGAUGUUGGGAAUCUGCAGGGCUUGCUCAGAAAGUAACUCUCUCCCUGAGGGGGGAGGCCAGGCAGCUGGGGAACCCAGUCCUCACAGUGUCAGCAGCCAGUCUCCAAAUCUCUUCCUUCCUCUGGAUUUCCAGCUGAUUUGCUGCCUCAUGGCAACAGACAGAGGAUUUGGAGGGCUCCCGCUGUGGUACCAUAGCCAGGAUUAGGUCCUUUAACAGGAAGAGCAACAGAGCAGAAGCCAAGAAGGCAGGGACAGGCCUCUGUCCUCUAGGCGAGGCAGCAAGGGGUGAGAUUGGUGCAGGUUCCCCCUCUCUUUUUGCCAUCUGCAGAGAUGCAGCAGCACAGAGGGGCUGAUCCAGAUCCUUCUGGAGUGCAGGAGACCAGGGAAGACCAAGCCAUUUCCUCUCUGUGGCAUGGCAGCAAGCAGUAGAGUUCCUGAUGGAGCCGGACCACCUGUGGAGGGGUCAGGUUUAGAGCCAAAGCGCCUUUCUGGCCCCCGCACCACUGCCCAGAGAACCAAAUGGUCCCCUCCCUGCAAGAAUGUGCCAUCCCUGAGUCAAGAGAUCUGACUGUUGCUGUUCCUGCAAGAGAAUAUGGCAGGAGGUUUUGGCUGACCAACAACAACUACUCCAUCUGCUACCGCUGUGGUAAGGACGAAUCCCCUGCUUUCUGGCUUCUUCUCCCCAGAGUAAUAUCAAGGGGUUUCUGUAUUCUGCAGAAUAGCAGGGAAAGUGACUUGCACUUCUCUCUCUCCCAGCAACACCUGACCAGCCUGUUGCACACCAUUCGCAGGAUGGAUGAAUACAAGGUACCUGUGCGCCAUCACUUUCCACAGCUGCUGAUAGCUGCCAACUUCCUGCCUGCCCAGGAAUUCCUCAACUCGGUAGUGCAUUGCAAAGGGACAAAUUAAGUCCCUUUUCCUUCAGCGUAUGGUGUUUCUUGUCCAGCUUGAUUUUCCAAGGGAGACUAUCCUUCAAGUGGCUACUAGGGAGCAAAGGAUGCGGAAGGAAUUUGAUUCUGUUUGCAUGUCAAGGCAGAUCUGCAUAAUUCAUAAUUUCUGGAAAUAUCAACUUCUGGGGGAGCCUUGUAAAUGUGGUUUUCCAGUUUGGUUCUUGGUGUUCUGGUGUGGGGUACUGACACAGGAGAAAGUGGCUGGAGCAAGGAGACCCCUGCUUGGUUUCAACUCUUUUGUUCCCACCAACAGUAGAGGGUCCCCCAAGGCCCCAUUCUUGAUCCCUAUGCCACAAUCAUGCCAUCUUUGGCUACAUUGAAGAGACUGCAAAGCCAAGCAAGGUCUCUGCCCAAUAGAACGUAGCAAAGGCAUCUUUAUUGAUGAGAUCUUUGCCAGUGGAGGGGCAAUUGUAAUCUCCUACAAAAGGCCUUCCUCUAAUGUUAUGGCUGGCUCCAAGAAGUAUCGUUCCCAAGAUUCCACAUUUAAAGUCUUUCCUCUGGAUGCAGAUAGCAGACAUCCGCCCUCCCCAAUUUAGACGGCAACCCCAAUGGGGGUUCCCUAACAUGCCCUCUUUGGAAUUUGGACCUCACCCCUACUAUGUACUCAUUUACCUUAAAUAUUCUGUGGCUCAUGUCAAGGCUACUUAGGUCCAUUCACUUCAGUGGGUUUGCUCAGCGCAAAACAUAGUUGGAUCCAACUCUCCAUCUGUAAAACUACAGAUGGUGGAUAAAACGAGAACCUGUCUAAACCUCCAUUGGGAAAUGUUUUGUACAAGGAAAGCAUCCUAUCCCGUCACCAAAGAGUUUCUUUCUCUUUGGGUCUCUUGAGCUGCUUAACUACCAAAUGUGAGUCUAUCCCUGAAAGCAAGCACUGGACCACCUGCUCACCUGGCUGCAGCAUGAUCACCCGCAAGUCUGGAAGCUCAGCCUCAGAGGGAUAUCCCUGCUUUUGGACUCUGACAUGGCAAGUGAUGCUCAGAGGGAGAGGGAGGGAUUUAGAUUCGAAUCACAGCCAAGCACAAGUCUGUGCUAAAAGAAUAACUGUUGGGCCUUUCAGAUCUUUGAAAAGAGUAUUUCUUUCGUGUAGUACCCUGAAGAUGCUGGCUGUAAGCUACUGCGGUCUGGCUGCCCAUCCAAACCAUUUUGGAUUGUUGGUCCAUCUCCGGCUCUCAGGCAUGGCUCACUGAGCUUCUCGCAAGCAUUUGCAAUCCAAAUUAAUGGCUUAGUGGCUGUCAAACAGAGGUGAAACCAAAGGAAAAGGGAAGAGGAGAGGAUAAGGAGCAAACUGGAGUGACUCCCACUGAAGUCAGUGGGACAUCCUUCUGAGAGAAUUGCAGAAACAGGAAGGGGCUGAUCACUUUCACCCCAAAGCUGCCACUGGAAGGUGAAAUCUGUUGAAGAGCUCAUUUCUGAGUUCUUCUUGACUUCUAACCCUCUUCUCUUCUCGAGGCCACAAUGAGGGCUCUUUGCCAUCCAGCCCCACAAGUCAAGUGGUGGAUACAUCCCAAAAGCUUUGGCCUCCACUUUGUACUCCACCUGGCAGCUAAGCAUCUAGUAAGGUCACUUUGCUUUGUUUGCAGCUUUGCACAGGGUUACCCCAUUUCAUCUUCCCACCAAUCCAGUAGAGGUUAGUUAUGUAUGCCUAGCUGGGGCAGCAGGUGUCGCCAAUGCUGCCUGCCUGCCCAGGGUCCUGGUCCUUGCAGGACUCUGCAAUCUUCUUGAAUGGGGGGAGCAGGCAACCCCCCCCCCAGCAGCAGUUUGGUUCCCUUUCUCCAUUAUAAAAAGUCUCCUUUUAAUUAUUUAUUCACCAUCAGCGGUGAUAAUUUCUGGAGCAACAAGAGGGUCUAACGUUACUGAUAUUCAGUACCCUUCUAACAGAACGUCCUUUCUCUCUUUCCUGCAUGAAACAAUGAAUCCAUGCUGGAAAAUGGCAGCCUAUCAACUGGAGCCUGGGAGGAGGCCUCUGGAAACAAGAAGACCCACACAAGAAUGUCAUCUGCUGGGAAAGGAAGCUCAGCAAAGACACCGUCUGCAACCUCAAUCCACACCCUUAUGGUGACUUUGGGGAUUAGACACUUUUUACUGAGUAUAAAGAGUUGCUACAGCGAGGUGAAAACGCAAGAAGGGCUUGAAGUAUGAGCAACAGCUUCCUCACCCGCGUUCUACAGAAGAACUUAUAUAGUUUAGGGAAAACAAAAAAAUUCCUUCCAGUAGCACCUUAAAGACCAACUAAGUUAGUUCUUGGUAUGAGCUUUCGUGUG